rnacentral:rRNA from 1 species
AAAGCGGGUGAAAAGCCCGCUCGCCGGAAGACCAAGGGUUCCUGUCCAACGUUAAUCGGGGCAGGGUGAGUCGACCCCUAAGGCGAGGCCGAAAGGCGUAGUCGAUGGGAAACAGGUUAAUAUUCCUGUACUUGGUGUUACUGCGAAGGGGGGACGGAGAAGGCUAUGUUGGCCGGGCGACGGUUGUCCCGGUUUAAGCGUGUAGGCUGGUUUUCCAGGCAAAUCCGGAAAAUCAAGGCUGAGGCGUGAUGACGAGGCACUACGGUGCUGAAGCAACAAAUGCCCUGCUUCCAGGAAAAGCCUCUAAGCAUCAGGUAACAUCAAAUCGUACCCCAAACCGACACAGGUGGUCAGGUAGAGAAUACCAAGGCGCUUGAGAGAACUCGGGUGAAGGAACUAGGCAAAAUGGUGCCGUAACUUCGGGAGAAGGCACGCUGAUAUGUAGGUGAAGUCCCUCGCGGAUGGAGCUGAAAUCAGUCGAAGAUACCAGCUGGCUGCAACUGUUUAUUAAAAACACAGCACUGUGCAAACACGAAAGUGGACGUAUACGGUGUGACGCCUGCCCGGUGCCGGAAGGUUAAUUGAUGGGGUUAGCGCAAGCGAAGCUCUUGAUCGAAGCCCCGGUAAACGGCGGCCGUAACUAUAACGGUCCUAAGGUAGCGAAAUUCCUUGUCGGGUAAGUUCCGACCUGCACGAAUGGCGUAAUGAUGGCCAGGCUGUCUCCACCCGAGACUCAGUGAAAUUGAACUCGCUGUGAAGAUGCAGUGUACCCGCGGCAAGACGGAAAGACCCCGUGAACCUUUACUAUAGCUUGACACUGAACAUUGAGCCUUGAUGUGUAGGAUAGGUGGGAGGCUUUGAAGUGUGGACGCCAGUCUGCAUGGAGCCGACCUUGAAAUACCACCCUUUAAUGUUUGAUGUUCUAACGUUGACCCGUAAUCCGGGUUGCGGACAGUGUCUGGUGGGUAGUUUGACUGGGGCGGUCUCCUCCUAAAGAGUAACGGAGGAGCACGAAGGUUGGCUAAUCCUGGUCGGACAUCAGGAGGUUAGUGCAAUGGCAUAAGCCAGCUUGACUGCGAGCGUGACGGCGCGAGCAGGUGCGAAAGCAGGUCAUAGUGAUCCGGUGGUUCUGAAUGGAAGGGCCAUCGCUCAACGGAUAAAAGGUACUCCGGGGAUAACAGGCUGAUACCGCCCAAGAGUUCAUAUCGACGGCGGUGUUUGGCACCUCGAUGUCGGCUCAUCACAUCCUGGGGCUGAAGUAGGUCCCAAGGGUAUGGCUGUUCGCCAUUUAAAGUGGUACGCGAGCUGGGUUUAGAACGUCGUGAGACAGUUCGGUCCCUAUCUGCCGUGGGCGCUGGAGAACUGAGGGGGGCUGCUCCUAGUACGAGAGGACCGGAGUGGACGCAUCACUGGUGUUCGGGUUGUCAUGCCAAUGGCACUGCCCGGUAGCUAAAUGCGGAAGAGAUAAGUGCUGAAAGCAUCUAAGCACGAAACUUGCCCCGAGAUGAGUUCUCCCUGACUCCUUGAGAGUC